rnacentral:rRNA from 1 species
UGCAGCAUUUGUGGCAGAGAGAAGGAGGAUGAGUUCCAUGCGACAAUAAAUUGCACAAAAGCAAGAGCACUAAGAGAAUAGAUGAGGGAGCACUGGAACCUACCUGCAGAAAACUGUUUUUGCUUUUCAGGCAAGGAUUGGCUACAAAACCUGCUGGGGAAGGGAGACAUGGAGGAGAGGAAAAGGAUCCUCCUUCUACUGUGGAGGGCAUGGUGGCUGCCAGAUAAUUGUGUCCAUGUUGACGGCAAGGCUACAAUUGGC